rnacentral:rRNA from 1 species
UACAGAGGGGGCAAGCGUUAUUCGGAAUUAUUGGGCGUAAAGGGCGCGUAGGCGGCCUGGCAAGUGACGGGUGAAAGCCCUCGGCUCAACCGAGGAACUGCCUGUCAUACUGCCGGGCUUGAGUCCGGGAGAGGUGACUGGAAUUCCUGGUGUAGCGGUGGAAUGCGCAGAUAUCAGGAGGAACACCGGUGGCGAAGGCGGGUCUCUGGGAAGAUACUGACGCUGAGGUGCGAAAGCGUGGGGAGCAAACAGG